rnacentral:rRNA from 1 species
GAUGAACGCUGGCGGCGUGCCUAAUACAUGCAAGUCGAGCGAACGGACGAGAAGCUUGCUUCUCUGAUGUUAGCGGCGGACGGGUGAGUAACACGUGGAUAACCUACCUAUAAGACUGGGAUAAUUUCGGGAAACCGGAGCUAAUACCGGAUAAUAUUUUGAACCGCAUGGUUCAAAAGUGAAAGACGGUCUUGCUGUCACUUAUAGAUGGAUCCGCGCUGCAUUAGCUAGUUGGUAAGGUAACGGCUUACCAAGGCAACGAUGCAUAGCCGACCUGAGAGGGUGAUCGGCCACACUGGAACUGAGACACGGUCCAGACUCCUACGGGAGGCAGCAGUAGGGAAUCUUCCGCAAUGGGCGGAAGCCUGACGGAGCAACGCCGCGUGAGUGAUGAAGGUCUUCGGAUCGUAAAACUCUGUUAUUAGGGAAGAACAUAUGUGUAAGUAACUGUGCACAUCUUGACGGUACCUAAUCAGAAAGCCACGGCUAACUACGUG